rnacentral:pre_miRNA from 1 species
CCGAGACGGGCGGAUCACGAGGUCAGGAGAUCGAGACCAUCCUGGCUAACACNCUCGAUCUCCUGACCUCGUGAUCCGCCCGCCUCGG